rnacentral:rRNA from 1 species
UUCCAGUCCAAUAGCGUAUAUUAAAGUUGUUGCAGUUAAAAAGCUCGUAGUUGAAUUUCGGGGUUAGUAGGCUGGUCAUGCCUCCGGUAUGUACUGGUCUCACUGAUUCCUCCUUCCUGAUGAACCGUAAUGCCAUUAAUUUGGUGUUGCGGGGAAUCAGGACUGUUACUUUGAAAAAAUUAGAGUGUUUAAAGCAGGCUAACGCUUGAAUACAUUAGCAUGGAAUAAUGAAAUAGGACGUUCGAUCCUAUUUUGUUGGUUUCUAGGAUUGACGUAAUGAUUAAUAGGGAUAGUUGGGGGCAUUAGUAUUCAAUUGUCAGAGGUGAAAUUCUUGGAUUUAUUGAAGACUAACUACUGCGAAAGCAUUUGCCAAGGAUGUUUUCAUUAAUCAAGAACGAAAGUUAGGGGAUCGAAGACGAUCAGAUACCGUCGUAGUCUUAACCAUAAACUAUGCCGACUAGGGAUCGG